rnacentral:rRNA from 1 species
CAUGCAAGUCGAACGGAAAUCUUUUAGAUUUUAGUGGCGAACGGGUGAGUAACACGUAAGCAACCUGCCUUUAAGACGAGAAUAACAAUUGGAAACAGUUGCUAAGGCUGGAUAGGAAAUAAAAAGGCAUCUUUUUAUUUUUAAAAGACCUUUUUCGGAAGGUAUGCUUAAAGAGGGGCUUGCGUCACAUUAGUUAGUUGGUAGGGUAAUGGCCUACCAAGACGAUGAUGUGUAGCUGGACUGAGAGGUUGAACAGCCACAUUGGGACUGAGACACGGCCCAAACUCCUACGGGAGGCAGCAGUAGGGAAUUUUCGGCAAUGGAGGAAACUCUGACCGAGCAACGCCGCGUGAACGACGAAGUACUUCGGUAUGUAAAGUUCUUUUAUUGAAGAAGAAACAAUAGUGGAAAAACUAUCUUGACGUUAUUCAAUGAAUAAGCCCCGGCUAACUAUGUGCCAGCAGCCGCGGUAAUACAUAGGGGGCGAGCGUUAUCCGGAAUUAUUGGGCGUAAAGGGUGCGUAGGCGGUUUAAUAAGUCUCUAGUUUAAUUUCAACGCUUAACGUUGUCCUGCUAGAGAAACUGUUUAACUAGAGUGAGAUAGAGGUAAGCGGAAUUCCAUGUGUAGCGGUAAAAUGUGUAAAUAUAUGGAGGAACACCAGAGGCGUAGGCGGCUUACUGGGUCUUUACUGACGCUGAUGCACGAAAGCGUGGGGAGCAAACAGGAUUAGAUACCCUGGUAGUCCACGCCGUAAACUAUGAGUACUAAGUGUCGGGGUUAAACUCGGUACUGAAGUUAACACAUUAAGUACUCCGCCUGAGUAGUACGUACGCAAGUAUGAAACUUAAAGGAAUUGACGGGAUCCCGCACAAGCGGUGGAUCAUGUUGUUUAAUUCGAAGAUACACGAAAAACCUUACCAGGUCUUGACAUACUCUGCAAAGCUAUAGAAAUAUAGUGGAGGUUAUCAGGGAUACAGGUGGUGCAUGGUUGUCGUCAGCUCGUGUCGUGAGAUGUUAGGUUAAGUUCUAAAACGAGCGCAACCCCUGUCGUUAAUUGCCAGCACGUUAUGGUGGGGACUUUAGCGAGACUGCCAAUGAAAAAUUGGAGGAAGGUGGGGAUUACGUCAAAUCAUCAUGCCCCUUAUGAUCUGGGCUACAAACGUGAUACAAUGGCUAUUACAAAGAGUAGCUGAAACGCGAGUUUUUGGCAAAUCUCAAAAAAAUAGUCUCAGUUCGGAUUGAAGUCUGCAACUCGACUUCAUGAAGUUGGAAUCGCUAGUAAUCGCGAAUCAGCAUGUCGCGGUGAAUACGUUCUCGGGGUUUGUACACACCGCCCGUCAAACCACGAAAGUGGACAAUACCCGAAAGCGACAGCCUAACUGCGUAAGC